ACCUGGGUGGCUCAGUCAGUUAAGCAUCUGACUUCGACUCAGGGCAUGAUCUCAUGGCUUGUGGGUUCAAGCCCCGCAUCAGGCU
rnacentral:tRNA from 1 species